UAUUGCACAAUGGGGGAAACCCUGAUGCAGCGACGCCGCGUGAGUGAAGAAGUAUUUCGGUAUGUAAAGCUCUAUCAGCAGGGAAGAAAAAAGACGGUACCUGACUAAGAAGCCCCGGCUAACUACGUGCCAGCAGCCGCGGUAAUACGUAGGGGGCAAGCGUUAUCCGGAUUUACUGGGUGUAAAGGGAGCGUAGACGGCUGUGCAAGCCAGAUGUGAAAGCCCGGGGCUCAACCCCGGGACUGCAUUUGGAACUGUGUGGCUGGAGUGUCGGAGAGGCAGGCGGAAUUCCUAGUGUAGCGGUGAAAUGCGUAGAUAUUAGGAGGAACACCAGUGGCGAAGGCGGCCUGCUGGGCUUUUACUGACGCUGAGGCUCGAAAGCGUGGGUAGCAAACAGG
rnacentral:rRNA from 1 species